CCAGAAUCAAUGACCAGGUAUUUGUCAACAGUGUGUUUGCCUGAAGCUCUGUGGACUUCUGGAAGGAUCAUUCUUCUGCCAGCACUUGUCAGACUUCCUGGAGGUUCCACCAACAUAACAUCUGCAUUGCUUUUGCUGUGAACCGCAGCCUUUCUCCAGACAAAUACUUUGAAGUUUGUCUUUGGAUGGAAGUUAGAGACAGAUGAAAAUUUAAGAGAAG